rnacentral:rRNA from 1 species
UACGGAGGGUGCAAACGUUGCUCGGAAUCAUUGGGCGUAAAGCGUGUGUAGGCGGCCUGUUAAGUCGGGUGUGAAAGCCCCGGGCUCAACCCGGGAAGUGCAUUCGAUACUGGCAGGCUUGAGUACGGGAGAGGGUCGCGGAAUUCCCGGGUGUAGAGGUGAAAUUCGUAGAUAAUCGGGAGGAACACCAGUGGCGAAGGCGGCGAUCUGGGAAGAGUACUGACGCUGAGGUGCGAAAGCGUGGGGAGCAACAGG